rnacentral:rRNA from 1 species
AGAAAUUUGUUAAUUCAAUUUAAUUUGAACAGAAAAAUUUAUUUUAAAUAUUUAUAAAAAAAAUAAUUUUAUGUUUUAUUAUUUUUUAAGAAAAAAUUUAUUUAAUUAUAGUUAAUUAGUAUAGUAAUAGAAUAUUUAAUAAAUUAAUAUUAAAGUUUUUUAAAGAAAAAUUUAUUUUUUGUACCUUGUGUAUCAGGGUUUAUUUAUUAAAUAUUAAAUUUUUAAUAUUCUCGAAUUAAGAAGAGUUAAUAAUAUAUAUAUAUUAAUGUUAAAUUAUUAUUUAUAAUAUAUUGUUAGUAGUGAAAUGUUAGUCGAUUUUUAAUAUAUCUAGUUUUUUAAGAAAUAAAUUUAAUUUAGUAGUUAUUAUUUAUAUUUUAUAUGUUAAAUUUAUUUAGUAUUAAUUAUAAAUUUUUUUAGGGAAAAGCUUGAAAAUAUAAUUUUAUAAAAUUAUGGUAAUUUAUGAUGAUUAGGAUUAGAAAUUUUCAAUUUUUAUAGUUUGUUAAAAUUAAUUUUAUUUUAUAUAAUAUUUUUAUAAUUUUUAAUUUUUUUAUUAAAAUUUUAGAUUUAAUAGGUUUAUUUAAGUAAUAAUGAUAAAAUUAGUAUAAUUUAAUGUAUAGUUAAUUAUUAUUUUAAGAUUAUUUUAAGGAAUUCGGCAAAAUUUUAUUGUUCGCCUGUUUAUUAAAAACAUGUCUUAUUGAUUAUAAUUUUAAGUCUAAUCUGCCCAAUGAAUAAUUAAAUGGCUGCAGUAUAUUAACUGUACAAAGGUAGCAUAAUAAUUAGUUUCUUAAUUAGGAACUGGAAUGAAUGAUUGGACGAAAUAGUGACUGUCUUAAUUUAAAUUUUAGAAUUUUAUUUUUAAGUUAAAAAGCUUAAAUUUUUUUAAAAGACGAGAAGACCCUAUAGAAUUUUAUAUUAUUUGAUUAUUUUAUUAUUAGUAAUUAAAUAUAGAAUUUUUUAAUAGAUAUUUAGUUGGGGUGAUUGAAAAAUUUAAUAAACUUUUUUUAUUAUUAACAUUAAUAUAUGAUUAUUUGAUCCAGUUUUUUUGAUUAUAAGAUUAAAUUACCUUAGGGAUAACAGCGUAAUUUUUUUAGAGAGUUCUAAUCGAUAAAAGAGAUUGCGACCUCGAUGUUGGAUUAAAGUUUAUUUUUAAUGUAGAAGUUAAAAUGUUGGGUCUGUUCGACCUUUAAAACUUUACAUGAUCUGAGUUUAAACCGGUGUGAGCCAGGUUGGAUUCUAUCUUUAAUAAAAUUAAAUAUUUUAGUACGAAAGGACCAUAUAUUUAUUAUAGUAGUUUUAUUAGAAUAUUAUUAUUAUUUUGGCAGAUUAGUGCUUUAAAUUUAGAAUUUAAUUAUGUGUGAUAUAUACAAAU